AGCCAUAUUGACUGUCAGUGUCUUUGUCAACGAGUCGUGGCCGAGGAGUGACUGUUCAAGUGCCAAUUACAAUUCCGAAAAACUCCUCUCAUCCACCUCAAAAAAAUGGGUUCCAAAAUUCAAGAGUACAAGGACACAUUGGAGCGCACUCUCAAUGACAAAAGCAAGCCAUGGGUUAAGUAUUUGGACUUGGCCGAACAGAAAUCCGGCGUGAACAGAGUUUACCUUUUCGUUGGUCUUGUGGCGUUCACCGGUUUAUAUUUAGUAUUUGGUUUCGGCGCGGAGUUGAUAUGCAACUCAAUUGGAUUUCUUUAUCCUGCGUACAUGUCGAUGAGGGCAUUGGAAUCGCCACAAAAGGAUGACGACACCAAAUGGCUGACUUAUUGGGUGGUGUUCUCGUGCUUCAACCUCGUGGAGUACUUCGCCGACUUCAUCGUCGGCUGGUUCCCUCUGUACUGGCUCAUGAAGUGCAUCUUCGUCAUAUGGUGUUUCCUGCCGACUGAUUUCAACGGCUCCCUCAUCAUUUACCACCGCAUCAUCCGUCCCUACUACUUGAAACACCACGACCGCAUCGACCAAAUCGCUUCCUCUGAGCUGAAAGACAUUAUAAAUAUGGCCAACAAGAAUAUAGAUAAGACAAUGAAGUCUUUCGCCGAUACUAUGAAGGAGUUGCACAAAGAUUAAGUACAGUAAAGGUAAAGCUGAUUAGUGCAAAAACGUACAAACUCGUUGUGCCCACCGCUUGGUAGCAGAUGCGGUUAGGAAGAACAACUAACUGUCAAAUAUUACACAGAAGCGGAAAGUACAAAUUUUUGCACACGCUUUUGUCACCAGCUUGCAACAUGUUGACUGAAUUUUAAAAUUAAAUUACUAUCUAUUGUAUACUUACAACUUUUAAAUCAUCGAACCGUUUUGACUUACACAUUCGUGUGUUAUAAAAAUCUUGCCUUUUCAUUAUGGUCUUACUUAUAAAGGCUGUAUCAAGGCAACGCUUCGAAGAUAAUAUUUUACACAAAAUUAUAUCAGGUGCAUAAAAAAUCUUGCCAAUGCAUCGAUAUUAAAUUAAGUUUAAAUAUUGUCCUUCACAUUUUUUACACAUUUUCACAAUGCGCUUUGUGAUCAAGGCACAGUAACCGUAUUUAUUGUUUUCUAAAAUCGUGACACAAGUUUUUUACAGUUUUCUUUUAGAAUUAAAUUGAUAGUUGAAUAUUACUCGGGCCUCUUUUAGGGCUUAGAAGCUAAGUAAACCCUUAAGUUUUUUCUAUACUUUAAGAUCUCUUCGUGAAGCAAUGAAUUCUUAUUUCAAUGUCUUUCUAUAAAAAGAUAUUUCUUUUAUUCUAGAUUUGCUCAAGGAAUGUUAGUUUAUCUGUUGUUUAUUUUUUAAGGUUGAAUCAAUAGUUUUUAAUGUGAUUUGGAGAAAAUAUGUUGCCAUGUAAUAAAUUGCAGCUAUACCAAUAGUAGUUCACGAAUUUUAUACUGUUUUUGUAUACUCCCUAGUGACUCGAAAAAGCAUCAAACUUGACAUUUUUCUCAGUUAUUACCAACUGUGAAAAAGUUAAAUUUGGCGCGAUUUCAAGUUUCAAUGAGUGGAAGUGAAAAAACCCCAUAAUGUUGCCAUUUUGUAAUAUUUAGUAGUUCACAUUUGCUUGCAAGUAAAAUCUAUGUUAUGCAUAUUUUAAUGUGCCUUCUGUGGAUUGGGCUGCGUACAUUGUAAUUGUAUUUACACAAGGAAAUGUUAAUCUUGUAUUUUUUUCACGUAAUAAAAGGAAUUCAUUGUAAUA